rnacentral:rRNA from 1 species
GACGAACGCUGGCGGCGUGCUUAACACAUGCAAGUCGAACGGUAAGGCCCUUCGGGGUACACGAGUGGCGAACGGGUGAGUAACACGUGGGUGAUCUGCCCUGCACUUCGGGAUAAGCCUGGGAAACUGGGUCUAAUACCGGAUAGGACCACUGCCUGCAUGGGUGGUGGUGGAAAGCUUUUGCGGUGUGGGAUGGGCCCGCGGCCUAUCAGCCUGUUGGUGGGGUGAUGGCCUACCAAGGCGACGACGGGUAGCCGGCCUGAGAGGGUGACCGGCCACACUGGGACUGAGAUACGGCCCAGACUCCUACGGGAGGCAGCAGUGGGGAAUUUUCCACAAUGGGCGAAAGCUUGAUGGAGCAACGCCGCGUGCAGGAUGAAGGCCCUCGGGUCGUAAACUGCUUUUAUGUGAGAAGAAUAUGACGGUAACACAUGAAUAAGGGUCGGCUAACUACGUGCCAGCCGCCGCCGUAA